UACAGAGGUCCCAAGCGUUGUUCGGAAUUAUUGGGCGUAAAGAGCUCGUAGGCGGUUUGUCGCGUCGAAUGUGAAAACCCGGGGCUCAACCCCGGGCCUGCAUUCGAUACGGGCAGACUAGAGUUCGGUAGGGGAGUCUGGAAUUCCUGGUGUAGCGGUGAAAUGCGCAGAUAUCAGGAGGAACACCGGUGGCGAAGGCGGGACUCUGGGCCGAUACUGACGCUGAGGAGCGAAAGCAUGGGGAGCGAACAGG
rnacentral:rRNA from 1 species